rnacentral:ribozyme from 1 species
UGCCCAGCAACUCCUAUCCCUACCUCCUAGAGGUAUUGGCCUGGGUACGAGUAACCUUAGAGAAGUUCGGGUAGCCAACCCUGGUGGGAACUCUGGUCAUAUGCUGACAGAGAAGC